CUAGUAAUCGCAGAUCAGCAUGCUGCGGUGAAUACGUUCCCGGGCCUUGUACACACCGCCCGUCACACCAUGAGAGUCGAUAACACCCGAAGCCUGUAGUCUAACCAUAAGGGGGACGCAGUCGAAGGUGGGGUUGGUGAUUGGGGUGAAGUCGUAACAAGGUAAC
rnacentral:rRNA from 1 species